rnacentral:lncRNA from 1 species
CCACCUGGAGGCUUCUCUGCAGCAGGAGCAGGAGCUGUUACCCUUCUAAUCCCCACAAUGACCCCAGCCUAAUAAUACAAUAAUCCCCAAGUAGAACCAGGGGCCCAAGGCCCCCUCGUCAGCUGGGCUCCCACCUCCAAGCUGACGCCCUCAACCACUCUGCUGGGGUGAGCAAACCCAGGCCCCACAGCUGGCUAGCGGGAUAUCCGUGUCCACGAUUGGCGCCAUGUGUUUUAAGUUGCAGCGUCAAAAACAUGAAGAGAUUGCUUUAGCAAAUAUUUACCCAGUCCUGACUCUGCACAUGGCAUCGUUCUAGGAGCCCAAAGAUGUUAACUUGUUUAAUAAUCAAGCCCUGUGAAGGUCUCACUUUGUCACCCAAGUUGGAGUGCAGAGGCACAAUGACAGCUCACUGCAGCCUCGACUUCCUGGGUUCAAGUGAUCCUCCUGCCCCAGCCUCCCUAGUAGCUGGGACUUCAGGGAGUUUAUAGCAUCUGUGGAUUUUGGUACCCACGGAGGUGCUGGAACCAAUCGUUGAGGAUUCCAAGGACAACUCUAUGAUGCAGGCACACCUGUCCUAGCUGCUCAAGGGUCGUGGGAUGCAGGUAGGUUUUCUCCCCCUUCCCCCUCCCUCCCACCCACCUUCUCUCCCAUCUCUCUCUCUUUCAUUCACGAAGUCAGCAGUGGCCAAGCACACAGGUGUUCCCAGCUGCAUAUCUGGGAUACUGAGGAAAGGUAAGAAGUCUCAGGAGUGAAGAAGCCACAGGCCGGCGUCUUCCUCCCUGGGCCUCCAGCAGUGGGGAGCCAGGGAGCGCACCUGCUGGGCCUGGGCCCUCUCCCCUGGGCUGGGCGGCCUCUGCUGGCC